UAGCGAUAGUGAUCUGGUGGCUCAACCAUACAGGCUAUUAUUCGAACUGGCUAACUCGAGAAUGGUAGAGGUAACUGGAAUUUCUUGUGUAGGAGUGAAUCCGUAGAUAUAAGAGGACACCAAUGGCGUAGGCAGGUUACUGGACCAUUUCUGACGCUAAGGCACGAAAGCGUGGGGAGCGAACCGGAUUAGAUACCCGGGUAGUCCACGCUGUAAACGAUGGAUACUG
rnacentral:rRNA from 1 species